AAUGAGAGAGCGGCGUACGGGUGCGUAACACGUGUGCAACCUGCCUUUAUCUGGGGGAUAGCCUUUCGAAAGGAAGAUUAAUACUCCAUAAUAUAUUGAACGGCAUCGUUUAAUAUUGAAAGCUCCGGCGGAUAGAGAUGGGCACGCGCAAGAUUAGCUAGUUGGUGAGGUAACGGCUCACCAAGGCGAUGAUCUUUAGGGGGCCUGAGAGGGUGAUCCCCCACACUGGUACUGAGACACGGACCAG
rnacentral:rRNA from 1 species